CGUGGAGCAGGAACCAGUUCUGGGAGUUGGGGGAGAGGGCCAGCGCGGGAGGGAGCUCUUUGGGAAGAACCACAGGCUCCAGGUGAGCGUUUGAGUUCAGAGACACUGGGCAGGUGUGAGUGAGUGCAGGGGGAUGUGCUGGGGGUCCGGCCAGAACCCCUGAGCCGGCAAAGGGCCGCUCCCACAUGACUCUGGCCGUCCGUGUUCCUUCAGGGGGGUCUCUAAAGGCUGGUGCCCCCGACCCUGUGGUCAGGGAAGCCCUACGGGAAAUGAGUGGCGGGACCGACGCAGCUUGAGAGGUGGCCGGGCUUCGGCUGCCUUUGCCAGAGCCAGCUCCCACUGAGGACCCCUCCAAGGACUCAUCCACAGUCCUUCCUUCCACAGGCGUCUGCCGCAGACGGUGUGAGAGAGGCCAGAACUUGGGCACCAACUCUGGGCCUUUGGUGUCGGGAGACAGACACUGGAGAUUCCAUGAGCUGCACCAGGGCCGCCAGGAGCCUCAGAAAGGAAAGGUCAGCCCCCAGCCUGGAGCUGGUCUGCUCUGGAAAUGCUGGGCCUUCCUUUUAGACCAAAGGGAGGACAGGCGUGAUGACUGACUCCUCAUUCCUGGAGCUGCAGUAGUCCCAGGAGAUGUCCGUCCUUGGGCGGCAGGGCAUUGGACACCAGCCCGAUGACUCCUACUGCUACAACUUGGCCAAAAAUGGCACUGUGCUCCAGGGGGUCAACUUCGGUGGCAUCCCCACUGUCCUGCUCGUAGACGUCUCCUGCUUCCUGGUUUUAAUAUUGAUAUUUUCCAUUAUAAGAAAAAGAUGCUGCGAUUAUGGCCGUAUUGCCUUGGAGUCAGGAGCAAACAGAUUCCAGAGAUUGUCAUCGUCUUCCUUCUCAGGGCAAUACGACUUUGAAAGCGAGCAGGUUGGUAUCUGAGGGACAGUUGUGGUUGUCACCAGGCGGUAGGGGGUGAGGGACAGGGAUGGGCAGUAACGAAUUGGCAGGGAGAGGGCAGCUGUGCUCCUGUUCAGCUGCUAACCUAGUCCCCGGGUCUCGAGUGGCAGCUGCUGGUGAGAGCUCUUCUCUGCAUUGACAGAGGCUCCUGAACUCGGGAAGUGCCACGGGGAACAGGGCAGCUGGAUAACCCAGGACCCUGAGACUUGACUCUCAGGCAGUGGGCUGCGGAAUCCCCUGUGGUCCCAGCACUUGUAAGGGCUUGCUGGGACAGUUAAUUGUGGACUUGCCCGCUAGCUUAUGAGCCAAAUGUGGGCAGGAACCGUGUCUUACCCAGCGCUGUUCCCCACCCCCUGACACCCAGGAGCUGCUGAGUAAUUGUCGAGUGAAUGAUGAAUGAAUAUUUGUCUUUCCCAGCUGGUAACAGUCCUGCUUUAGGGAGUAGUAAGUGUAAGAGAUUCGAGGGACAAUAAAACCUACCGACACCCUUUUCCUUCCCUAAAUCCCGCCCCAGGGAACUGUCUAAUCGAUUAGGCUCAUUUCCUCACUUUAGUCCCACAUCUCACUCCGUCCUUUUGAGACAGUCAAGCAGAAGCCCCUGUCAGCUUCUCCAGAGCUGCCCUGAGCUGUCUUCAGCUCUUGGUUCAAGUUUCACGUUUGACCCUGGAGCCAGUGUAACUCCACAAACUGUCAGAACUAGAGAGGUUUUCCUCAGAUUUCCAGGCACAGG